CCCAGCCAGCACCCAAAAGCAAUUCCACAAUUUUAUCUCUCACUGCCUGCCUCAGUGAUCUACCGUGUCCCAUUUCCCCUGCGUUCUGUUUAGUUUUCCCUCCUUCCUUCUCAUCAUUGCUGCAGGUAAUCUUCCUAGCUCGCAGUAAUCUCAUGUUGUAUUCGUUCCCAAGUCCCUUUCCUGCCAAUGAACUAUUAUUCCCAACAUUGUGGUUCAUAACAUGUAUGUUGUGUUUUACUGAUUUGUUUUUCCUCAGUGCAUGCAUCAUUUUACCCUUAUUCACCUUGGGAGGUCUCCCACGAUUAGGCUUCAGCUUCUUCCUCACUUCUCCAUAAGAUUCAUCACCCUCUUUACAAGCAGGUUGAUCAGUUUCUUCAUUUCCCAUGUCAAACAUUUUCAUUACUGAUCCAUCAUUCUUCUGAGCCUUUGGUGGUCUCCCAUGCUUAUGCUUCGAGUUUUCCCUCCAUUCAUUAUUUGGCUGAUCACUCAUUUCGCCAGCAGAUUGAUCACACUCUUCCUCCUCCACCUCAGCCCCUUUCUUAUUAGACAGAUCACUCCCCAGAGCCUUGGACAGUCUCCCAGGACUAGAAUUUAAUUUUUCAAUCUCUUCAUUCUCCGUCUGAUGACUAGCAGAUAAAUCAAUCCUUUCCUUUUCCAUCUCAUCCCUCUUUUUCUCAUACUCAUCAUUCUCCUGAGCCUUGGGAAACCUCCCACGCUUAGGCUUUAUGUUUUUCCUCCCUUCAGGCUGAUCACUCUCUUUGCCAGCAGAUUGAUUAACCUCUUCCUCAACCUUUUUCUUCUCAAACAGAUCACUCCCCUGAGACUUGGGCGGUCUCCCGCGCCUAGGCUUCUGACUGCUCACUUGACUAGCAGACAAACCAAUCCCUUCCUUUUCCAAGUCACCCCACUUUUUCUGAGACUCAUGAUUCUUUGAUGACUUGGGAGGCCGCCCGCGCUUACGCUUUAGCUUUUUUACACUCUCUCGAUCAGCAGAUUGUUCAAUCUCUUCCCUCACCACAUCACCCCAUUUUAGUUGAAACUCACUCUUCAGAGACUUGGGAGGCCUCCCCCGUUUGCGCACUAAUUUUUUCCUCUUCAUGUUACCUAAAUGAUAACCGUACCUGCCAACAAAAUGACCACUCUCUUCUUUUUCCACAUUGACCCGCUUCUCCUCAAACGCACCUCUCCUUGUGGUCUUUUUCCCAACAAAACCACCAUUACUUUGUCCCCUCUCAGUUUUUUGCCCAGACCUUGACCGCAGAACCGUACCAACAACCUGCAAUUUAACAUCAAUAGGCUCAUCCUUCACCUUCUGUCUUUUGACACUAUCAUCUUUACUCUCUCCCUGAUGAUCUAUUCUAGUUCUUUUCCUCCUACUAUUAGCACACUUCACAACGUUAUCCUCAUCAGUAUCACUCCCAGCACCACAUUCCUCAUAUCUUGACCCAUCAAUCUGAU
rnacentral:misc_RNA from 1 species